rnacentral:rRNA from 1 species
CCUACGGGCGGCAGCAGUGGGGAAUAUUGGACAAUGGGGGGAACCCUGAUCCAGCCAUGCCGCGUGUGUGAAGAAGGCCCUCGGGUUGUAAAGCACUUUCAGUGAGGAAGAACGCCUGGUGGUUAAUACCCAUCAGGAAAGACAUCACUCACAGAAGAAGCACCUGCUAACUCCGUGCCAGCAGCCGCGGUAAUACGGAGGGUGCGAGCGUUAAUCGGAAUUACUGGGCGUAAAGCGCGCGUAGGUGGCUUGAUAAGCCGGUUGUGAAAGCCCCGGGCUCAACCUGGGAACGGCAUCCGGAACUGUCAAGCUAGAGUGCAGGAGAGGAAGGUAGAAUUCCCGGUGUAGCGGUGAAAUGCGUAGAGAUCGGGAGGAAUACCAGUGGCGAAGGCGGCCUUCUGGACUGACACUGACACUGAGGUGCGAAAGCGUGGGUAGCAAACAGGAUUAGAUACCCUUGUAGUC